rnacentral:rRNA from 1 species
UACGUAGGGUGCAAGCGUUAAUCGGAAUUACUGGGCGUAAAGCGUGCGCAGGCGGCUAUGCAAGACAGAUGUGAAAUCCCCGGGCUCAACCUGGAAACUGCAUUUGUGACUGCAUGGCUAGAGUACGGUAGAGGGGGAUGGAAUUCCGCGUGUAGCAGUGAAAUGCGUAGAUAUGCGGAGGAACACCGAUGGCGAAGGUAAUCCCCUGGACCUGUACUGACGCUCAUGCACGAAAGCGUGGGGAGCAAACAGG